AGAUAUAAAUUCUACCUAUGAGUGAAGGGUGUUGGAAAUAAGAGGCAUCUCAUUCUAUACUUCUCUUAUGUCUAACCUUGCUGAUUUUUACUUACUUGUGUCUUGCUUAUUGUAUUUAUUCAAUAGGUUAUGGGCCCACAAAUACUUGAUUAUGCUUCUUAAGUAACUUAAAGUUAUUUGCUAGUUGUUGCUUUUGUGUGGAGUAGAUCUUAUAGUAUUUAUUGAUGUUAGGGUUUCUAUAAUCUAAUCUUAUAUUUUGGCUUGUAGAAGUUUUAAUUGAGGCCUUAUAGAUCCCUAACAUUUGUUUGAAGGUUCUUAAUUCCUAGGAUUGAGUGAUUAAGACCUUAUACAAAGACCUUGAUAGUAUCUUUGGUGUUCUGGAAGUUUUAGUAAAAAAGUGAGUUUUAUGAGUUAAAAAACAUUAUGGUGAGGUUGAUUGGAGUCUACAUACUUCUUAAAAGCU
rnacentral:lncRNA from 1 species